rnacentral:rRNA from 1 species
GAUGAACGCUGGCGGCGUGCCUAAUACAUGCAAGUCGAGCGAACAGACGAGGAGCUUGCUCCUCUGACGUUAGCGGCGGACGGGUGAGUAACACGUGGAUAACCUACCUAUAAGGCUGGGAUAACUUCGGGAAACCGGAUCUAAUACCGGAUAAUAUAUUGAACCGCAUGGUUCAAUAGUGAAAGACGGUUUUGCUGUCACUUAUAGAUGGAUCCGCGCCGCAUUAGCUAGUUGGUAAGGUAACGGCUUACCAAGGCAACGAUGCGUAGCCGACCUGAGAGGGUGAUCGGCCACACUGGAACUGAGACACGGUCCAGACUCCUACGGGAGGCAGCAGUAGGGAAUCUUCCGCAAUGGGCGAAAGCCUGACGGAGCAACGCCGCGUGAGUGAUGAAGGUCUUCGGAUCGUAAAACUCUGUUAUUAGGGAAGAACAAAUGUGUAAGUAACUAUGCACGUCUUGACGGUACCUAAUCAGAAAGCCACGGCUAACUACGUG